rnacentral:lncRNA from 1 species
CACUACAUGUAUUUUAUACACAAUUAUAUGGACUUCAAGAAAAGAAAAUUUACACCCUUUUUUUUUUGAGAAAAUGAGAAGAUUUACGCCCAUGAUAAAAUGGUACAUGUUACAUUUCCUUCUAGUGGUUCCAUUGCAUGGACCUUAUCUCAUGCAAAACAAUAGAGAAUACAAUGAGAAUAAAAUUGCAUAAACCAUGGAAAAAAGAAAAGAAAGAAAAAGAAAAGACGCCAUAAGCUUCAUGAGUUUCUGAUCAUCUUCAUGGAUUAAGGAGGACAAGUUCCGUGACGGAUGUUGGGGUUGCUGGUGCAGCCUGAUGCCCCUGAAGGAUUUCCCGAACCCUUCGGAAGGGAUUCCAGCAAGAGCCCAACGUUCUCUGGCCACCACUCUCCAUUCAAAGGCCUCACCGCCAUGAGAGGAUGCAAGCUUGAGAUCACCAAGACAAGAAGCAGCAGCUCUCUUGAACACAGACCCAUUUUAGUGAAGAAGAGAGAGUUGUUGAUGCUCCUGUAUGGGUUUCUUAUAUUGAAGGAUUAUAGGACGGUUGGUCGGAAGAUCUCUGAU